CGGGCGUGUGGGAUCAGACUUACUUUGGAUAUUAGGGUCAGCAGCUGCUCGAUAUAGCAUGAUAUGAUAGACGGUGAUCUAUUGUGGUUCUAGACGCCGUAUGAUAUAGGAUAGUCGGGGCAUCAGUAUCAUCGUCAGAGUGAAUUCUUUGGAUUGAUUGAGACUACUACUGCGAAGCAUUUGCCAAGGAUGUUUUCAUUAAUUCAGUGAACGAAAGGUUAGGGGAUCGAAGACGAUCAGAUAUCCGUCGGUAGUCUUACCCAUUAACUAUGCCGACUAGGGAUUCGGACCGGUGUUUAGUUAUUUUUGACCCGUUCGGCACCCUUACGAGAAAUCAAAAGUUUUUUGGGUUCUCGGGGGGGAGAUAUGGUCGCAAGGCUUGAAACCUUAAAAGAAAAUUGACGGAAGGACCCCCCCAGGCGGUGGGAGCCUGCGGCUUAAUUUGACUCAACACGGGGAAACUCACCAGGUCCAGACACAAUAAGGAUUGACAGAUUGAGAGCUCUUUCUUGAUUUUGUGGGUGGUGGUGCAUGGCCGUUCUUAGUUGGUGGAGUGAUUUGUCUGCUUAAUUGCGAUAACGAACGAGACCUUAACCUGCUAAAUAGCCAGGCCCGCUUUGGCGGGUCGCCGGCUUCUUAGAGGGACUAUCGGCUCAAGCCGAUGGAAGUUUGAGGCAAUAACAGGUCUGUGAUGCCCUUAGAUGUUCUGGGCCCGCACGCGCGCUACACUGACAGAGCCAACGAGUUCAUUUCCUUAGCCGAAAGGUUUGGGUAAUCUUGUUAAACUCUGUCGUGCUGGGGAUAGAGCAUUGCAAUUAUUGCUCUUCAACGAGGAAUGCCUAGUAAGCGCAUGUCAUCAGCAUGCGUUGAUUACGUCCCUGCCCUUUGCACUCACCGCCCGUC
rnacentral:rRNA from 1 species